CAAAAAAAAAUUGCAAUGGCCACCGCAGUUAGCGUCGGCGCAAAAAUGCCGUCGCCAUUGGUCAUAAAUUUGCUACGGGAAACAAGGCGUCGCAAAAUUAAAAUUGGUUUGCGACGGCAAAUUAACGCCGUGGCAUAAAAACUGAUACAAUUGCGACGGCAUCUUUAAUGCCGUAGUUAAAUUUGUCCCGAUUCUUGCUACGCUAUAGUUGCCGUAGCUUUUUUUAGCUUUCUUCAGGUGCAUUAGUUGCCUUUUGUCAUUUUUAUUUUUCAUUUUUAUUAAGGAAAUGGUUCCCAUCGGUGUGACGCUCACUCUCUAAACCCCUUCUCUCUCUCCUCUUCUCCUUUCUCCGGAUACGAUCGACGACUUCGAGAGGGGUGUAGAGCGGAGCCCUCUCUCUCCCGCCGCCCAAAAAUCUCUACCGUUGAUUCAAUUCCAGUUGUGAAAUUCAUGUAGUUGAUGAUUCGCUGGCCUUAGGAUUCAUGUCAUCUCAUCUCAGAUCUAUACUUGCAAAUGGCUCAGAUCGACCUCCAUCUUUACCUCCUUGGCGGCACUCUCACAGACCAAAGGAAGCCAUGGCCGCUGUGCAUGUUGUAUCCUGCCCUCCCCGGCUUGGCAGCGAAUCGAAUUAGGUUGGUGUAUUCUCGCAUAGAUUCACAUGAAAAACCCAGUCCAAACUAUCUGCUGCAACAAUGGCUGUAGGGGAGCCCAGAGCACCAAAGUAAUAAAUUCACAUCUCCAUGUUUGGGCUUUUCCUCAUAAGGCUGCUGGUAAAUAUCCUUACUUUCCUGGCCAAGAACCCACUUUGCCUAGGGAUAUCGAUUUGUUGCUUCAGCAGGUUUGUAGAGAAAACAACAACCAUGGGUCUAGAAGAAUGCUAUUCACAUCAAUAUGUAAGUCUAAUAUCACAAGUAUUGCUGCAAUUGUUAUCGAACAUGGUGAUCGAUGAUAACAAUUGCACAAGUUCGAUAACAAUUGCACAAGUAUUGCUAUUGUGACAAAGGCUUCUCUCAUGGAAUGUAAUUAAUUUGGACUCAAGGUGAUGAUGUGAAGGAAAAAGAGCCGGACCCUUCAAUUUAUCUUAUAGUUGCCAAGGUAAACAAUCUACAUUUUUUUUCUUUCAGGCUUUCUACUUUGCCUCCUUCGAUGGAGAUGGAAUCAUAAAAGAGAAUGAUAAGUCAAUUUAGAAAUCAGAACGUCGACCCAAUGUACUCAAAUAUAGAGUAAGCAUUUCCUUACAAGUAUGAGGUAUGUUGUAAUUUUAAGUCUCGGAUUGAAUGUAUCCUUGCAACACUUGAUUAUGAUAUAACAGAGCUAGGUUGUAUGAUAUAACAUUUGUUAUGAUACAAAUACAAUACUUAUUGUUGGAUUUUUUUAAUUUUUUUUUUGUAGAAUUUGGAAUCUCUGGUCUGUCCAAUUUGGAGUUGCUCAUCAAAGAGAGCCUGCAAAAAGCCAGUGGCAGCGAUCUCCGAGUUCAUUUUAAGGUACCCUGGAUCUUCAUGAUAAUGAAUGAAAAUUCAGACAUAUAUUUCGAGGAGGCUUGCAACAACACUAGAGUAAUUGGUAUGUGAAGUAGAUCAAGGAAGAUCCUGCAAAGUUUAUCUUGAAGUAGAGGAAAAUAACUAACUUGUAAAGCUUAAUCUUGUAAAUUUUGGUAGAAGCUCCAUUCCUUUUGUAACAUUCAUGAGGAAAAUUAAAGUGUAACAUUUCUUUUUA